AGAGUUUGAUCCUGGCUCAGGAUGAACGCUGGCGGCGUGCCUAAUACAUGCAAGUCGAGCGAACGGACGAGAAGCUUGCUUCUCUGAUGUUAGCGGCGGACGGGUGAGUAACACGUGGAUAACCUACCUAUAAGACUGGGAUAACUUCGGGAAACCGGAGCUAAUACCGGAUAAUAUUUUGAACCGCAUGGUUCAAAAGUGAAAGACGGUCUUGCUGUCACUUAUAGAUGGAUCCGCGCUGCAUUAGCUAGUUGGUAAGGUAACGGCUUACCAAGGCAACGAUGCAUAGCCGACCUGAGAGGGUGAUCGGCCACACUGGAACUGAGACACGGUCCAGACUCCUACGGGAGGCAGCAGUAGGGAAUCUUCCGCAAUGGGCGAAAGCCUGACGGAGCAACGCCGCGUGAGUGAUGAAGGUCUUCGGAUCGUAAAACUCUGUUAUUAGGGAAGAACAUAUGUGUAAGUAACUGUGCACAUCUUGACGGUACCUAAUCAGAAAGCCACGGCUAACUACGUGCCAGCAGCCGCGGUAAUACGUAGGUGGCAAGCGUUAUCCGGAAUUAUUGGGCGUAAAGCGCGCGUAGGCGGUUUUUUAAGUCUGAUGUGAAAGCCCACGGCUCAACCGUGGAGGGUCAUUGGAAACUGGAAAACUUGAGUGCAGAAGAGGAAAGUGGAAUUCCAUGUGUAGCGGUGAAAUGCGCAGAGAUAUGGAGGAACACCAGUGGCGAAGGCGACUUUCUGGUCUGUAACUGACGCUGAUGUGCGAAAGCGUGGGGAUCAAACAGGAUUAGAUACCCUGGUAGUCCACGCCGUAAACGAUGAGUGCUAAGUGUUAGGGGGUUUCCGCCCCUUAGUGCUGCAGCUAACGCAUUAAGCACUCCGCCUGGGGAGUACGACCGCAAGGUUGAAACUCA
rnacentral:rRNA from 1 species